GCAGUCACAGAGGGAACACAGAGCCUAGUUGUAAACGGACAGAGACGAGAGGGGCAAGGGAGGACAGUGGAUGACAGGGAAGACGAGUGGGGGCAGAGCUGCUCAGGACCAUGGCUGAGGCCAUCACCUAUGCAGAUCUGAGACCCAGGGGCUGAUGAUGAUGGGGAAAUCACCUACGAGAAUGUUCAAGUGCCCGCAGUCCUAGGGGUGCCCUCAAGCUUGGCUUCUUCUGUACUAGGGGACAAAGCAGCGGUCAAGUCGGAGCAGCCAACUGCGUCCUGGAGAGCCGUGACGUCACCAGCUGUCGGGCGGAUUCUCCCCUGCCGCACAACCUGCCUGCGAUACCUCCUGCUCGGCCUGCUCCUCACCUGCCUGCUGUUAGGAGUGACCGCCAUCUGCCUGGGAGUGCGCUGUGAGUAAGGCUGUCCCUACUUCCCACUUACACCGAACGACUUUCGUCCCGACUCUCGCCCCAAAGCUGAUCUUCCUCAGCAGGGAUCAUAGUCACUACCACCACCUCCUUAGCUUUGGGUUUGGUUUCCAGCCAGGGCUGUUGUCUUCCUGAAUUGUCCUCACCUAAUCCAGUACCUCCUUACGCUUUAGUCAGUCAAAUCUUGUAUUUCAGCCUGUGAUGCAAAAAGUUGCAAGAAGCAGAAAAAGGGCUGAUGCUGCAGUCUCAGGGCACUAGGGCAGGGCUGGAGAAGACAUCCACCAAAUCUCUGUGGCCAAACAGAUCUGCAGGUGUCUCAGCAGCUCCAGCAGACGAACAGGGUUCUGGAAGUCACUAACAGCAGCCUGAGGCAGCAGCUCCGCCUCAAGAUAACGCAGCUGGGACAGAGUGCAGAGGAUCUGCAGGGGUCCAGGAGAGAGCUGGCGCAGAGUCAGGAAGCACUACAGGUGGAACAGAGGGCUCAUCAGGCGGCCGAAGGGCAGCUACAGGCCUGCCAGGCAGACAGACAGAAGACGAAGGAGACCUUGCAAAGUGAGGAGCAACAGAGGAGGGCCUUGGAGCAGAAGCUGAGCAACAUGGAGAACAGACUGAAGCCCUUCUUCACAUGCGGCUCAGCAGACACCUGCUGUCCGUCGGGAUGGAUAAUGCAUCAGAAAAGCUGCUUUUACAUCUCACUUACUUCAAAAAAUUGGCAGGAGAGCCAAAAACAAUGUGAAACUCUGUCUUCCAAGCUGGCCACAUUCAGUGAAAUUUAUCCACAAUCACACUCUUACUACUUCUUAAAUUCACUGUUGCCAAAUGGUGGUUCAGGGAAUUCAUAUUGGACUGGCCUCAGCUCUAACAAGGAUUGGAAGUUGACUGAUGAUACACAACGCACUAGGACUUAUGCUCAAAGCUCAAAAUGUAACAAGGUACAUAAAACUUGGUCAUGGUGGACACUGGAGUCAGAGUCAUGUAGAAGUUCUCUUCCCUACAUCUGUGAGAUGACAGCUUUCAGGUUUCCAGAUUAGGACAGUCCUUUGCACUGAGUUGACACUCAUGCCAACAAGAACCUGUGCCCCUCCUUCCUAACCUGAGGCCUGGGGUUCCUCAGACCAUCUCCUUCAUUCUGGGCAGUGCCCAGCCACCGGCUGACCCACACCUGACACUUCCAGCCAGUCUGCUGCCUGCUCCCUCUUCCUGAAACUGGACUGUUCCUGGGAAAAGGGUGAAGCCACCUCUAGAAGGGACUUUGGCCUCCCCCCAAGAACUUCCCAUGGUAGAAUGGGGUGGGGGAGGAGGGCGCACGGGCUGAGCGGAUAGGGGCGGCCCGGAGCCAGCCAGGCAGUUUUAUUGAAAUCUUUUUAAA
rnacentral:lncRNA from 1 species